UGAGGAAUAUUGGUCAAUGGACGAGAGUCUGAACCAGCCAAGUAGCGUGCAGGAUGACGGCCCUAUGGGUUGUAAACUGCUUUUAUAAGGGAAUAAAGUGAGUCUCGUGAGACUUUUUGCAUGUACCUUAUGAAUAAGGACCGGCUAAUUCCGUGCCAGCAGCCGCGGUAAUACGGAAGGUCCGGGCGUUAUCCGGAUUUAUUGGGUUUAAAGGGAGCGUAGGCCGGAGAUUAAGCGUGUUGUGAAAUGUAGAUGCUCAACAUCUGAACUGCAGCGCGAACUGGUUUCCUUGAGUACGCACAAAGUGGGCGGAAUUCGUGGUGUAGCGGUGAAAUGCUUAGAUAUCACGAAGAACUCCGAUUGCGAAGGCAGCUCACUGGAGCGCAACUGACGCUGAAGCUCGAAAGUGCGGGUAUCGAACAGG
rnacentral:rRNA from 1 species